rnacentral:rRNA from 1 species
GAUGAACGCUGACAGAAUGCUUAACACAUGCAAGUCAACUUGAACUUCGGUUUGGGUGGCGGACGGGUGAGUAACGCGUAAAGAACUUGCCUCGCAGUUAGGGACAACAUUUGGAAACGAAUGCUAAUACCUGAUAUUAUGAUUUUAGGGCAUCCUAGAAUUAUGAAAGCUAUAUGCGCUGUGAGAGAGCUUUGCGUCCCAUUAGCUAGUUGGAGAGGUAACGGCUCACCAAGGCGAUGAUGGGUAGCCGGCCUGAGAGGGUGAACGGCCACAAGGGGACUGAGACACGGCCCUUACUCCUACGGGAGGCAGCAGUGGGGAAUAUUGGACAAUGGACCAAGAGUCUGAUCCAGCAAUUCUGUGUGCACGAUGAAGUUUUUCGGAAUGUAAAGUGCUUUCAGUUGGGAAGAAAAAAAUGACGAUACCAACAGAAGAAGUGACGGCUAAAUACGUG